AUCCAGCUGACGAGUCCUAAAUAUGACGAAAGACGCGUCUUGGAU
rnacentral:hammerhead_ribozyme from 1 species